rnacentral:lncRNA from 1 species
GGAAAACCAAUAUCACGAGCAAUUGCGGAAGCUGAGAGAGAAUUGAGUUUUGAAUGCUGAUGAUGAUUUUAUUGAUGACUGGAAGCUAAUUACAAAAGAUGUGGUGUCGAGGGAAGAGACACCAGUAUAAAAAAUGCUUGCUUGAAAAUGUUUGGUUGCUUGAUCUCCCCUAAUAAUACUUAAAAAAUAAAAACCAAGAUUACAUGACUGGCCUUAAGAAAGCUGUAAAAGCAUACUAAAUAAAAAUGAAGUAAAGCUAGCCUAGAAUUACAAUGAAAGAAGACUUAGUUUAUUACAUGUAGAAAUAAGUCUGAUGGCAACAACUUUGUCUUGCGGGUCAGGGUCUGCGCGCGCGGUGCUAUGGGCGCGCGCGACACUUGUUGUCUUUGCCUGAUGUUGGGCGUUGGAGCUUGGCAUCAGGGUCUGUGCGCGAGGCGCUGUUGUCAUUGGCCAGCCGCUGGGCGCUGGCGAGAUGCAUCGGUGGGGUGAAAGAGGCGCAUGGGCGCUUGUCACUUGGCGCAACCAAGACCACGGGGCCGACCAUGGCGCUAGGCUUUGAGAGGCUUGCUAGGUCGCCAUGGGGCGCGAUCAAGGGGUCAUGGGGCGUGUAUGGAAAGCAACCCAUCACAAUAGUUGUGUGGAUUGUCACUGUGGAGACUCAAGUAGACUUGCUGCUGCAUUUGCAGGCCUCGGAGUCACCAUCUGUUUUAUUUAUUUUCAUUGUUUCCUUGUGUUCUGGAACAGUGAUGUAUUCAAUAUGUAUAACUACUCCUAGAAAGGCUUAUGACUUGUACUACCAGUUUUGGGAAUUCUAAAUUGUUCGAGAUAUCUAAUCUAAGUAAGUGAAUAUUAUCAUUAUUUCUGUUAAUGUUAGGCUUACCUAGUUUUAGAGACUUGGUGCCAUCACGACUCCUUCAGAGGAAUUUUAGGUCGUGAUAGUUGUAGUAUACUUGUAUGUAAAUUGUAUUCUAUUGUAGUUAUAUAUUUAUUAUUAUUUGAAUAUUGUAUAAAAAUUGAAAAUAGUUGUACAAUCUAUGAAUCGUUGUAUAAAGUUUGUAUUUAAGUUAUCAAUACUAUCUUUUUUACAUAAAGUUGUUAUAUAUAUCAAAAUUGCAUUAAGCGAGUAAAUUUUGAUUGGAAUUUAAGAGAGGAAGAAGCACACACCACAUACAAAAUAUACAAAAAAGACAUAUUGUAUAAAAUUUAUAUAAAAAUUGUAUUUAAGUUGUAUGAUAUUGUAAUUUUAUUUAAUUGGGUAAAAAAGAUGGAUGAAAAAUAGAUGAGUUGCAAAUAAUUUGUAUAUUAUAUAAUUAGUUAUAUGAAAUUUAUUUUUAUUAUAUAUGUUGUUGCAGGUAUAUAAAAUUUCGUAUCAAAAGUUGUUGUAAAUGUAUGAACCGUAAUUUAUUUAUUUCAAACCUUUUUAAGAUGAGAAGAUGAAGAAAAAGUCGCCAUUGUUUUCACUUCUUCUUAUGACGACGAUGAUGAGUAUUUGCUUCCUUCGCAAAGUUUCGAUCAUGGUAAUUUGGGGAUGCGUCUCUGUAAUAUCGGUAAAUUGCGAGAUUGAUAGGGCGGAUAUACUUGAUGAGUUUGGUGUGUACAUUGCUGGGCCGAGUAACAUCCAUGACCAGGAAAGGGAAAGGUGGUUAACACCAUUGUUCCCUUCAGUUAUGUCUUUUUCCAAUAUAAAUUCAACAGAAUUCCCUAUUCUUUUUAAAAUCCGUCAUUAUUACUUUGUACUCCCCUUUUGUGUAUAUGAUACAUUUUCUUAAUUUGCUGACCAUACCAAUUCUUU